rnacentral:rRNA from 1 species
AAUAGAUACCCCGGUAGUCCAUGCCAUAAACGAUGGACACUUGGUGUUGGAGGUAUUGACCCCUUCAGUGCCGUAGCUAACGCGUUAAGUGUCCCGCCUGGGGAGUACGGUCGCAAGAUUAAAACUCAAAGAAAUUGACGGGGGCCCGCACAAGCGGUGGAGCAUGUGGUUUAAUUCGAUGCAACGCGAAGAACCUUACCAGGUUUGACAUCUACUGGAAGACUCUCAGAAAUGAGGUCGCCUUCGGGCCGGUAGACAGGUGCUGCAUGGCUGUCGUCAGCUCGUGUCGUGAGAUGUUGGGUUAAGUCCCGCAACGAGCGCAACCCCCUGUGUUUAGUUGCCAGCAUUCAGUUGGGCACUCUAAACAGGACUGCCGACGUUAAGUCGGAGGAAGUGGGGAUGACGGUCAAGUCCUCAUGGCCCUUAUAUCUAGGGCUACACACGUGCUACAAUGGUCGGUACAGAGGGAAGCAAAGCCGCAAGGUGAGCAAAUCCCNGAAAGCCGAUCUAAGUUCGGAUUGAGGUCUGAAACUCGACCU